rnacentral:rRNA from 1 species
CCUACGGGAGACAGCAGUGGGGAAUAUUGCACAAUGGGGGAAACCCUGAUGCAGCGACGCCGCGUGAGUGAAGAAGUAUUUCGGUAUGUAAAGCUCUAUCAGCAGGGAAGAAAAUGACGGUACCUGACUAAGAAGCCCCGGCUAACUACGUGCCAGCAGCCGCGGUAAUACGUAGGGGGCAAGCGUUAUCCGGAUUUACUGGGUGUAAAGGGAGCGUAGACGGCGCGGCAAGUCUGAAGUGAAAGGCAGGGGCUUAACCCCUGAACUGCUUUGGAAACUGUUUUUCUUGAGUAUCGGAGAGGUAAUCGGAAUUCCUAGUGUAGCGGUGAAAUGCGUAGAUAUUAGGAAGAACACCAGGGGCGAAGGCGGAUUACUGGACGACAACUGACGGUGAGGCGCGAAAGCGUGGGGAGCAAACAGGAUUAGAUACCCGAGUAGUC